rnacentral:rRNA from 1 species
AUUGAACGCUGGCGGCAGGCUUAACACGUGCAAGUCGAACGGCAGCACGGGAGCAAUCCUGGUGGCGAGUGGCGAACGGGUGAGUAAAGUAUUGGAACGUGCCCCGUCGUGGGGGAUAACGUAGCGAAAGUUACGCUAAUACCGCAUACGAUCUAUGGAUGAAAGCGGGGGAUCGCAAGACCUAGCGCGAUUGGAGCGGCCGAUAUCAGAUUAGGUAGUUGGUGGGGUAAAGGCUCACCAAGCCGACGAUCUGUAGCUGGUCUGAGAGGACGACAAGCCACACUGGGACUGAGACACGGCCCAGACUCCUACGGGAGGCAGCAGUGGGGAAUUUUGGCGAAUGGGCGAAAGCGUGAUCCAGCCGUGCCGGGGGCAGGAUGAAGGCCUUCGGGUUGUAAACUGCUUUUGUACGGAACGAAAAGGUUUGGCCUAAUAAGCUGAGCUCAUGACGGUACCGUAAGAAUAAGCACCGGCUAACUACGUGCCAGCAGCCGCGGGAA